rnacentral:lncRNA from 1 species
UUUAAAUCUGUGAAUCAAUCCACAAAUAGAAAAUUAAUAGUGUAUUGCACUAAAGGGUUUUUUCCCUGCUCUAGGACCCUUAGUGAUCCUUAUGAUGCUUGUCAAAGGGACAUCAACAUAUGUAUGAUUUAGGGACUAUAUCCUUCCCUAUGGUAUCUUUCCUCCUUCCUUUCUCUUUCUUUUCUUUCUCUCUCUUUCUUCCUUUCUCUCUCUUCCUUACUCUUUAUCUCUUUCUGUUUUUCUCUCAUUCUUUUUCUCUUUUUCUUUCUUUCUUUCUCUCUUUUUCUUUCUUUCUAUCUCUUUCUAUCUCUUUCUUUCUUUCUUUCUUUCUUUCUUUCUUUCUUUCUUUCUUUCUUUCUUUCUUUCUUUCUUUCUUUCCUUCCUUCCUUCCUUUCUCUCUUCCUUCCUUUCUCUUUCUUUUCUUUCUCUCUUUCUUCCUUUCUCUCUCUUCCUUUCUCUGUCUUUCUUUUUCUUUCUUUCUUUCUUUCUUUCUUUCUUUCUUUCUUUCUUUCUUUCUUUCUUUCUUUCUUUCUUUCUUUCUUUCUUUCUUUCUUUCUUUCUUUCUUUCUUUCUUUCUUUCUUUCUCUCUUUCUCUCUUUCUCUCUUUCUCUCUUUCUUUCUUUCUUUCUUUCUCUUUUUCUUUCUUUCUUUCUUUCUUUCUCUUUUUCUUUCUUUCUUUCUUUCUCUUUUUCUUCCUUCUUCAUUAAUUUUGGUAUACAACAUAUCCAUUCCCCAAUUUUAUUCAUGCCAUUCCCAAAGCUUUGCCCUCUGGCCAUUUGAGUGGUCUGGUUGGUGCAGCUAGUGAUGGUUUUCCCUGAUCUUGUGGAGAGAGGGGGGCAUUAUUGCAGGUUCCAGCUAAGGGAGCCCUAAGGACCAGAGCAGACAAUCAGUCGCUUCCUUCAGGGGCAUUGAGGCUCCAGUGAUAAUUGGCUACUGUCCAUUGAGCCUAUCCCAUUCCCCAGAGAGGGUGGCUUGAGCACUGUAAACACAUACACAUAAGACAUCUGUGCUUCUCACCAAAGAGGCCUAGGGGCAGGAGAAGGCCCAAAUCAAGCCACUCACUCACUCAAGCCAGUGAGCAUUUGGCAGAUGCCAAGUCACACUGCCUAUUGGUUCUGGGACUUUCCCCCACUCCGAGAUGUGAGAGCAGAGCAGGC